GUGACUAAGCAUGUAGUGCCAAGGAUGUAGUAAUUUUGGACGGGGGUUCAAAUCCCCCCAGCUCCACCA
rnacentral:tRNA from 2 species